UACGGGGGGGGCAAGCGUUGUUCGGAAUUACUGGGCGUAAAGGGCUCGUAGGCGGCCCACUAAGUCAGACGUGAAAUCCCUCGGCUUAACCGGGGAACUGCGUCUGAUACUGGAUGGCUUGAGUUCGGGAGAGGGAUGCGGAAUUCCAGGUGUAGCGGUGAAAUGCGUAGAUAUCUGGAGGAACACCGGUGGCGAAGGCGGCAUCCUGGACCGACACUGACGCUGAGGAGCGAAAGCCAGGGGAGCAAACGGG
rnacentral:rRNA from 1 species